UACGGAGGGUGCGAGCGUUGUCCGGAUUUAUUGGGCUUAAAGGGUGCGUAGGCGGCCGGCUAAGUCCGGGGUGAAAGCCCGUUGCUCAACAACGGAACUGCCCUGGAUACUGGCGGGCUUGAGUCCAGGCGAGGUUGGCGGAAUGGACGGAGUAGCGGUGAAAUGCAUAGAUACCGUCCGGAACCCCGAUUGCGCAGGCAGCUGUCUAGGCUGUUACUGACGCUGAGGCACGACAGCGUGGGGAGCGAACAGG
rnacentral:rRNA from 1 species